rfam:Luteibacter sp. TNCMF366Tsu5.1 genome assembly, contig: FG06DRAFT_scaffold00001.1
AGUCAUCACUCUGGAGAGACCGGUUCGAUCCGGCGCCGAAGGUGCAAGAGGCUUUCCGCCUCCAAACUCUCAGGCAAAAGGACAGAGGGGCGCCC